CCUACGGGGGGCAGCAGUGGGGAAUAUUGGGCAAUGGACGCAAGUCUGACCCAGCAACGCCGCGUGAAGGAAGAAGGCUUUCGGGUUGUAAACUUCUUUUAAGGGGGAAGAGCAGAAGACGGUACCCCUUGAAUAAGCCACGGCUAACUACGUGCCAGCAGCCGCGGUAAUACGUAGGGGGCAAGCGUUAUCCGGAUUUACUGGGUGUAAAGGGAGCGUAGACGGAAAGGCAAGUCAGAAGUGAAAGCCCAAGGCUCAACCAUGGGACUGCUUUUGAAACUGUCAAACUAGAGUACGGGAGAGGG
rnacentral:rRNA from 1 species